AAUUCACCCUGAAUCCAGAGAGCACUCUGAACUCCACCGAUGAUGGAUCUGGACCAAACUUGGCAAAAAGAACCUCAAUGACCAACAGAACAUACUGGAGGGGUUGGGGGUGGUUAAUCCACCUAGGUGGGAGUUAGAGUUCACCCUUCAUCCAGAGAGCCCUCUGAACCCCACCAAUGAUGAAUCUGGACCAUAUUUGGCACACAGACCCAACAUGGCCAACUUUGAAUACAGUUGAGGUUCGGGGUGAUUGACUUUGGAAUACAGGAGUUAUAGUUCACCCGCAUCCAGAGAGCACUGAACCCAGCCGAUAACUGACCUGGACCAAACUUGUCACACAGUCCCAACAUGGCUAAAUUUGAACACUGGCAGGGUUUGGGGUGAUUGACCCACAAUUUUUGGGAAUAGUUCAUCCACAUCCUUAGGCACAUCUUAAUGGGAGCAAUCAUAAAAAAGAAAAGAAGCAAAUAUUGACUUUUUUUCUAAUAAAUAGUGUUACAAAUUACCUAACUGAUAUUACCUAACAUCCAAAAACAGACAAUGCAUUUUUCAAAUAAUCCAGGCAUUGUUGCGUAGCCAAGCCAGAUACACAAACACACACACACACACAAAUAUAUACAUACAUACACACAUACCCAUAGAUGUAUAUGCUUUGGAUAGCAUAGGGAAGGGUGAACACCCCUGUGGAGUUUGUUUUACUGUCUGUGACCUUUUUCAGAAGAUUUUACCUCACUUUCUUCCCCUGGGAUAAUUGGAUUUUGGAAAAAAAAUGGCUUGUUGUGGAAACAAGGAAUGGUGAUCAAGCUCCAGUGAAGACACCUUUACCCCAUGAUAGCUCUUCCAGGAAUGAAUUUCCCCUCAGGAAAACACUUGUGGUGCAUUAAAAGAACAGAAGAAACAGCAGUUAUGACUCCAGUAAGCCUGCUUGAGGGAAAAUAUCAAGCCAGGCACUGCUAUAGUUCUAUGAACAAGACAAAUUAAUCUCAUUGUGUCACGGCACAGUUAAGAUACCAUAAUAUUUGCAAGGAGAAAUUAGCAUUCAUUAAUAAAGUAUGUUGUGUUUAUGAAGGAAUGGAUGUGAUUCCUUUAUAAACAUAAAUGACCUUUUUGGAACAUCCCGGUGGCGAAGUGCAUUAAAGCACUGAGCUGGAGACCGAAAGGUCCCAGGUUCAAAUCCGGGGAGCGGCGUGAGCGGCCGCUGUUAGCUCCAGCUCCUGCCAACCUAGCAGUUUGAAAACAUGCCAAUGUGAGUAGAUCAAUAGGUACUGCUCUGGCGGGAAGGUAACGACGCUCCAUGCAGUCAUGCCAGCCACAUGACCUUGGAGGUGUCUACAGACAACACCGGCUCUUCAGCUUAGAAAUGGAGAUGAGCACCAACCCCCAGAGUCAGACAUGACUGGACUUAACGUCAGGGGAAACUUUUACAUUUACCUUAAUAGUUUUGACACUCAUCCCUUACGAUUUUUCCAAAACACUUUAGAAUCAAAAUGGGGGUCACACAAUUUUAGUUAAGACAAAUGA
rnacentral:lncRNA from 1 species